GACAGAGGGGGCAAGCGUUGCUCGGAAUUACUGGGCGUAAAGGGCGCGUAGGCGGGAUGGCAAGUCGGUCGUGAAAUCCCUCGGCUCAACCGAGGAACGUCGAUCGAUACUGCUGUUCUUGAGGAUUGCAGAGGAGACUGGAAUUCCCGGUGUAGCGGUGAAAUGUGUAGAGAUCGGGAGGAACACCGGUGGCGCAGGCGGGUCUCUGGGCAAUUCCUGACGCUGAGGCGCGAAAGCGUGGGGAGCAAACGGG
rnacentral:rRNA from 1 species